AAAGAUAUGGCUCAGUGGUAGAGCAUUCGACUGCAUAUCGAGAGGUCCCCGUUUCAAACUCGGAUGCUCUCUUCUUCA
rnacentral:tRNA from 1 species